AUGAGUUUGAUCCUGGCUCAGGAUGAACGCUAGCGGCAGGCCUAACACAUGCAAGUCGAGGGGUAACAGGAAAGCUUGCUUUCGCUGACGACCGGCGCACGGGUGCGUAACGCGUAUGCAACCUACCUCAUACUGGAGAAUAGCCCCUGGAAACGGGGAUUUAUACCCCAUAUUAUCAUCCUUUCGCAUGUUUGAAUGAUUAAAGAAUUUCGGUAUGAGAUGGGCAUGCGUCCCAUUAGCUAGUUGGUGAGGUAACGGCUCACCAAGGCUACGAUGGGUACGGGGCCUGAGAGGGUGGUCCCCCACACUGGUACUGAGACACGGACCAGACUCCUACGGGAGGCAGCAGUGAGGAAUAUUGGUCAAUGGAGGCAACUCUGAACCAGCCAUGCCGCGUGAAGGAUGACGGCCCUAUGGGUUGUAAACUUCUUUUGAAUAGGAAGAAACUUAUCUACGUGUAGAUAACUGACGGUACUAUUAGAAUAAGGAUCGGCUAACUCCGUGCCAGCAGCCGCGGUAAUAACGGAGGAUCCAAGCGUUAUCCGG
rnacentral:rRNA from 1 species